GGGUUCCCUCCAGCCUCAGCUUUGCCCAGGACCUCACCUGGAACACGUGGAAGCCAACGGUGAGGUAAGUGAGGCCCUUGGCUCUCAGGCGCCGCCGGUUGCGCUGGAUGAGGGACAGAAGGACCGUGCACUUGGGCGUGCGGCCCCCCCGCGCUGGGCCCCGUGCCCCUGCAGCCCCCCAGCCCCCCCAGGGCCCUUCCUCAUCCUCGUCAUCCUCCUCAUCAGGCUCCAGCAGCGUUAAACGGAACUGAGGAUUGGUCCAGAAGGUUUCUAAGGGAGGAGGAAAAAAGGGGGUUUCCUAGCCGGCCACAGCGCCCCCCACCCCAGGAAGCCUCUCAGGGCCCCUCAGGCCUCACCAGCAUUAGGCUGGCUCCCGCCGGAGUUGAAGCCACGCACCCAGCGGCCUUGGAAGGUGUGGACGUGCCAGCCGCCCCCCUCCGGGCUGGGGCCCAGCACCUCCGGGCUCAGCGAGCAGAUCUGCACGGUGUCGAAAUGGAGGAGGAAGUCCCGCAGCUCCAUCCUGCACGGUGGCCCAGUCAGACCCUGCCCGGCCCCACCUCGAGGGGGUCCCAAGAUCCCGGAAAUGACUCCCAGAUCCCAAAGCCCCUCACAUUUCUUAAAUAUUGUCAAAUACCCUUCAGGCUCCAGAAAUGAACCCCAAAUGCCUGGGCCUCUAGCUCUGCCAAAUUCCUCCAAGUCCUCAGACAUGCCCCACAAAUCGCCAAGAUUCACAAGCUGCCCCCAAAUAUCGUUAAAUUGCCACCAACCCCCAAAUAGCAAGACCCUCAGACUCUAAAUUACCAACAAGUACCCUUCAGCCCCUCAACAUUGCCAAAUCUCAAGAAAUGCCCCAAAUAUCACCAAGCCUUCCUCCAUUGCCCUAAAUACUGCCCAUCCCUUUCAAUCCUCCACAGAUAACUAGGCCUUCAAAUUCCCCUCAUAUUACUACUUUUUUAAACCCACUCCAAUCAGAGGUUCUCUAAUAUUACUACCAAUUCUUCCUUGAUUUCCCAAAAUAGAACCUGGCCCCAAAAUUACCACCGAUGUACACAGUUUCUCCCUAUUAGGACCCAUCCUUCAACUGGGGCUCGCCCUCCCUGAACCCCUUGGCAGAGACCCUCCCAGAGGCAGAGCUGGGACCCUGACGAACUGACCAGAACUCGCCAUCCUCCUUUUUCACCAGCAGGGCAUCGCGGCACUCGGUGGGGAGUGUGUCCCAGCGUGGGCAGCUGGAGAGACUGUGGUGUGAGGGGCGGGCAGGUGGGGUCCAGCCCCACACCCACCCCAGACCCAUCCCACCUGUCGCUCCAGGCCCCCGUCCACUCCACGCAGCCCCAUGGGUUCCGCAGCCGCAGCAGCCGCACCUUGGUGAAGCCCAGGAACACCUGGGGCAGCAUCGUCAGUGGGGGUGAUGCCUGGACAUGGCCUGCCACCCCACCCAUGGGGGACACUUACCUUGUGUGUGCCCGUGAUGGAAUACGCGUGUCCCUUUACCAGGCCCUCUUCUGUGCGGUACUCACCCCGAUCACUCUGGGCAGGGGAUGGGAUGGUGAGGCCAAGGUAGGGGACAGGAGGGCAGCUGCUCCUCCCUGCCCCCAACCUCCUGCCACCAAGGCAGGAGCCAACCAGAGCACUGAACUGAAUGGCACGCAGCUCAGAGACCAUGUCAGGGUUAGUGACUGAAGGCGAAAGAGAAAAGGAGAGGAAGGGAGAUGGAAACGAGACAAAAGGAGAUGGAGGUACGGGCUCACGCCUGUAAUCCCAGCACUUAGGGAGGUCGAGGUGGAAGGACUACUUGAGGCCAGGAGUCCAAGACCAGCCUGGGCAACAUAGCAAGACCCCAAGUCUACAAAAAUUUUAAAAAUUCAACAGGCGUGGUGGUGCACACCAGUGGUCCCAGCUACUCUGGAGGCUGAGGCAGGAGGAUCCCUUGAGCCCAGAGGUCAAGGCUAUAGUGAGCUAUGAUGACACUACUGCACUCUGGCCUGGGUGACAGAGUGAGAUGAGACCCUGCCUCCAAAAACAAAAACAAACAAAAUAGAUGGAAAGAGGCCUGUUGUGGUGGCUCACACCUGUAAUCCCAGCACUUUGGGAGGCCGAGGCGGGCAGAUCACAAGGUCAGGAGAUUGAGACCAUCCUGGCUAACACAGUGAAACCCCAUCUCUACUAAAAAUACAAAAAACUAGCUGGGCAUGGUGGCGGGCGCCUGUAGUCCCAGCUACUCGGGAGGCAAAGCAGGAGAAUUGCUUGAACUUGGGUGACAGAGGUUACAGUGAGCCAAGGUCGUGCCACUGCACUCCAGCCUGGGUGACAGAGCAAGAUUCCGUCUCAAAAAAAAAAAAAAAAAAAAAAAAGAUGGAAAGAGUAGAGAGACAGAGACAGAGACAAAGAAAGAUACAGAAGAGAGAAACAGACACAAAAGAAAAAGAGAAGCAGUAACUCAGAGGAUUUAAGUAAAUGAAUGAGUGAAGGAGUUAGACCAACUCAGUGAAUGAAUGAGUGUGUCAUGGGGUCACAGAUGAACACAUGACCCAAGCUAAGCCCACGAGAAUCAAUCCUGGGACUUUUACUGAAAUUCUCAGAAAGAGGCACUUUUUUUUUUUUUUUUUAAAUAAACCCUAGGGUGGUAGGAGAUACCUGCAGCUAUGGGGGAUCCUUUUAUGCCCAUGAGGGGAGAGCCUGGCUGAGAGUGACACUAACACAGAAUGAGAAAUAAACAUAGUUGCAACACCCUCAGCAUCUGGAUCCAGCUGUGCCUGAAGCCCCUGAUUCAUGAGAGCAAAUGAAUUUAUUUUUGACUAGUUAGAUUUAUGAGCGAGCCUAAGCCAGUAACGGAAGCAGAGAACAGAGGAAGCACUCCGCCCACCCCACCACACCCCUGACUGUGCUCUGGUCCUGGUGGGGGUUCCGCAUGCGAGUCCAGGUCUCUUACCAGGGCAGU
rnacentral:lncRNA from 1 species